rnacentral:rRNA from 1 species
GAUGAACGCUGGCGGCGUGCUUAACACAUGCAAGUCGAACGAAGCACUUUAGUUGAUUUCCUUCGGGACUGAUUAUUUUGUGACUGAGUGGCGGACGGGUGAGUAACUCGUGGGUAACCUGCCUUGUACAGGGGGAGAACAGUUGGAAACGGCUGCUAAUACCGCAUAAGCGCACAGCAUCGCAUGAUGCAGUGUGAAAAACUCCGGUGGUAUAAGAUGGACCCGCGUUGGAUUAGCUAGUUGGUGAGGUAACGGCCCACCAAGGCGACGAUCCAUAGCCGACCGGAGAGGGUGACCGGCCACAUUGGGACUGAGCCACGGCCCAAACUCGUACGAGAGGCAGCAGUGGGGAAUAUUGCACAAUGGGCGAAAGCCUGAUGCAGCGACGCCGCGAGAGCGAAGAAGUAUUUCGGUAUGUAAAGCUCUAUCAGCAGGGAAGAUAAGGACGGUACCGGACUAGGAAGCACCGGCUAAAUACGU